GAAUGAAAAGUGAAAAAUCACACUCAGUUUCGACCUGAAAAUUGGCACUUAAAUGCCUUCAUUUA
rnacentral:tRNA from 1 species